UAAAAAUAUAAAAGGAGAUUCAAAGUUUGACUAUGCAUUUAAUACCCAGUAUAACUCCAAAGCUUUUGAUAUACAACGUGUUAUCAAAAAACAUUGGCCACUUCUUUUGGAAGAUGAUAUAUUGAAGACCCAAAUCCCUAGGUAUCCAAACACUAUUUUUAAAAAAGGAAAUAAUUUUAAAAAUAUUUUAGCUCCUAGCACCUUCUUAAAUGAAGGAAGAAAGAAAAAAGGUAAUCUUGGUUUCCACACAUGUGGCAAUUGCAAAGCAUGCAGAUAUACGUAUAGGGCUUUUAAAGAAUUUAAG